AUCGGAGGCACGAUCCAGAGUCUCAACAGGAAAAAAAAAACUAUACGAGAGCCACACGCACCCAGCUAUCCCAAUGUGAGCGAGCGUGGGGAAACCUAAGGCCACCGAGGCAUCAUGGAAAGACUCGCCGCCUCCACCGACGAUCACCUCAAUCGGGAGGUCCCACCGCGAUUUGUCAGCUCUACUAGCGGCGGUGCCAGCGACCCUAGAACCCUAGGCGAGCCCACGAGCAGUCGCUCAAGAUGAACAAUGUUGUUCUUUAAUCUGCAGUUAUGGGAGGGAUAGAAGUGGAUCUGAACAGUGGCAAUGCUAACUGUAAUCAUCCAUGGCUAGCAAUUUGACAGUACUCCAAAUAAUCCAUGACACCUCCAAGAAAGACAAUUCUACACGACUGCGUACAUAAUCUUCCGGCCCGAAAAACAUAAAUCAGAAAGGUGAAUAUUGUGUACAGUCUGGGCUUUGCUACCCCUCCUCCCCAUUAAAAAUCAUGAUCUUUCUUUUUGUUUGUGUCCUACUGCCAAUGUGUGCAAUGUUCAAUGUUGAUUUGUGCUGCAUUUUUUGCAAGAAAAGAAUAUGUUUCAUCAUGUCACCGGUCUGCAUCUAUAGGUGAAGUCAAUGAUAUGGAGCACUUGGAACAUGUGAGGUUGGCAUGUCCUUGAGUGCAAGAGUUUAGCCACCAAGUUAUGGUCUCUAACGAUUAGUGGUAUUUUUCUCAACUACUUCGAUAAAAAUCUAGGAAAUAUCACAUAUAUCGUUCGCUUACACAUCUUUGUUCCUUUAUAUUUCCUAUUCAAUUAAAUGUAUUUAUAUGUUAUUUGGAGAGUGUACGUAGAGGCGGUGUUGCAGUUUUUACCGAUUAAUGAUCAGAUAUUUUCUCUGGAAAUAUCUUAGCCAAUUAUUUGAGGCAUUGGCCUUUAUUGAAGGUGCCAUGGUGUUUUCUCUCUAGAGAGAUCUCAGCCAACUAUUUGCGACAUUGGCCUUUAUUGAAGGUGCCAUGGUUUUUCUCGUUAAAAAUAUCUCAUGCAAAUUAUUUCCGACAUUGCCAUUUAUUGAAGGUGCCAUGGUGUUUUCAUGAUCUUUGAACCUUGGAGAAACAUAUGUUGUCUUCGACUAUUGCCAGGUGCAUGCCUAUUUCUACUAUUUGAUUAUUACAAUUACUAAAUGUAUCGCAAUUGUUGUAAGAUGAACUUUCUGAGAAUAUGGCACAUAUAGGAAUUAUGAAGUGUGUUUUGAUGGAUACAUCAAAGGAAAUAGCGAUGUCUAAUUUGUGCUGAAUAUUACUUUGUAUUAGUUCAUACCUAAGCAUACCUUUUUAUUUGUACAAUAAGAAAUUUGUAACUAAUCAAACCACUUCAUACUGAAGUUUCUUGUUGUCGGUAUUGCUCCUGGAUCAAUUUGCUACCAUUCAGUUGAGCAGUGUGUAGUCCUUUUGCUCUGAUGAAGACACAAGUGUAUAAUUUUCUCUUAUAAAUCAUAUGUUUGCAUUGUAACUAAGACUAAGACCAUCAUUAGUAAAAUUGUUCCAAGAUUGAUGUUAUGCGUGACCAUACAUUUAUCAUAUAAGUUGCAUUGGAUAAUUAAAAUAUGUUUACCCCUCCAAGAUUUUUUGUUUCACUGUAUCACGUAGUUGAUCAAGUUAAGCCUGUGGUUUUGGUCCCUCAUCCCUGCGGCAUGAGGUGAAGCUCUAGCUCAAAUCUUCCUCCAGCAGCGAUGGGAAAAUUUAUGCAUUCAUGGUCAUAUCAGUACUUUUGGCAGAAAGAUGAACAGUACAACUUUUUGUCACCGUUAGUGCUUCAUGCUGUGAGUGAAAUUAUAUUGUUGAUUUGCUACAAAAAAUGUCAUUCCAAUAAAUUUGACAGAGAGGGCGGGAAUUUUCCUAUGCAAACUGUACUUAAAGUCCCGUUUUAUUGCUACUUGGUAAUAUAUCCAAUACGUACCCAAUUUGUCCAACCAUGCUGUCGUGUCACAGUGAAAUACUACUACAGCUUGAUGUGCUCAAAGCCUCAAACUAGAAAUAUAUCAAAAAUAAAAAACUAUGUGAGUGAAAAUGCACUCACUCUGAUAGGAGCCAUUUUGAUCAAUAUAUUUAUCAUAUAUGUUAUUAGUGCAAUUGCAAUUAUAACAAAGCUUCCUAAUGUCAAAGGUUUGUCGGAGAGAUAAUGGUCUCCGCACUAUUGCACUAUAGCUCACAAUGUAUGACACAUUAUUCAUUUUGUGCUACAAACUAUUUCUCUAAAUACCGACUAUGUUGCUUCCAUGCUUCCUUGCACUUGCUUUCUUUUUUUGCCUAAUGGUUAAGGAGAUUGUUUUUUACUUUUGUCUAAUGGUUACUUUACCACUCAUUCCUUGGCCUCCUAUAGAAAUAUGUGUUGUCCUCUCUUUACCAUUGGCUCCUUGGAAGCACUAUGUUGCUAGCACCAUGCAUCCCGUGACAGCAAUGAAAAACCUAUUGCCUAAGCGGAUGGGCGCGCAAAUAAGGUACUGUUAAAAAUCACAUCCUUGUCUUCAUCAUCUAUUGAUUAUUUCCAAUCUAAAGAUAGAGAACAACUUCUGUGGCAGCAUGUGAGAGGCUAAAUAAGGAGAGAUAGUCCCCUCAGAAAAUUUACUUUGCUUUGAAAAAGACAAAGAGUAAAACUUAUAUUCUAAAUCUAUGUUUGUUUUGCACUAAGCUAAUAACCAGCAUUAGUGUUUUUGUUCUAGGAUCCAUGCCAUUAAUUCAUGCACAUACAUUUGUCCCCAUGUUAUUGAUACUUAAUAUAUCCUGCCUCCAAGUUUUACUGUAGACACAUUGCCACAUUUUGUACAAUAUGCAUAAGCUUCUUAUGUGUAGUAUGUUUUAACAUGUCCGUUCAUGUCCAUGCCUUUUUAAAAGUAGACUGAAAGUCAUAUUUCUAACACUCCCCAAGAGAUUGUCGUGUUGAUUCUUUGAUAACUUUCACACGCGGGCAUAUUAUAUAUGUAAUAUAGGGAUGGAUCUCUGAGUUGUUUCUACCUUUUUUUAGCAAACUCAGUUGUUUCUGUUGUAUGUGGAAGAUCUGUGCAUGUGCUAUAUAACUUGUGUUGUUGGGUUUUCUUAGUGCAUCGGCAAUAUGCGCACCCUCUUAUGGCCCAAUCUGUGAACAUCGCUUCAUUAUGUUGAUGCCAUGCCAAAGAAUGUUUAAUGUACAUGCGUCUUAGUAAAGCAAAACGAUAACUAGGCCGACUGUCAAUCAUACAUACGAAACACAAUCUGGAUCAAACUGACUUAUCAGUUAUAAGAAUAUACAACUUUCCAUAGUUGUGACUAUUUUUGGAAAUUCUGAUUAUUUUAUCGUCAAAAUGAACGGGCGCAGCAACGCGCGCCAUCAAGGAUCUAGUUGUUAACAAGACCGGUAAUCACUAUUGCAAUUUC